rnacentral:rRNA from 1 species
UACGUAGGUGACGAGCGUUAUCCGGAUUUAUUGGGCGUAAAGGGCUCGUAGGCGGUUUGUCGCGUCGGGAGUGAAAACGCCGUGCUUAACACGGCGCUUGCUUUCGAUACGGGCAGACUAGAGGUAUGCAGGGGAGAACGGAAUUCCUGGUGUAGCGGUGAACUGCGCAGAUAUCAGGAGGAACACCGGUGGCGAAGGCGGUUCUCUGGGCAGUAACUGACGCUGAGGAGCGAAAGCGUGGGGAGCGAACAGG